rnacentral:misc_RNA from 1 species
GGAAGUAAAAGUCGUAACAGGGUCUCCGUUGGUGAACCAGCGGAGGGAUCAUUACCGAGUUUACAACUCCCAAACCCCUGUGAACAUACCUAUCGUUGCUUCGGCGGAACGCCCCGGCGCACUCGCUGCCCGGGCUCAGGCGCCCGCCGGAGACCACAAACUCUUGUCUUUUUACGUAUUCUGAGUGGCAUAAAGCAAAAAUGAAUCAAAACUUUCAACAACGGAUCUCUUGGUUCUG